rnacentral:rRNA from 1 species
UUAAGUUAUUAAGGGCGCACGGUGGAUGCCUUGGCACUAGAAGCCGAUGAAGGACGUUACUAACGACGAUAUGCUUUGGGGAGCUGUAAGUAAGCUUUGAUCCAGAGAUUUCCGAAUGGGGAAACCCAACAUGAGUUAUGUCAUGUUAUCGAUAUGUGAAUACAUAGCAUAUCAGAAGGCACACCCGGAGAACUGAAACAUCUUAGUACCCGGAGGAAGAGAAAGAAAAUUCGAUUCCCUUAGUAGCGGCGAGCGAAACGGGAAGAGCCCAAACCAACAAGCUUGCUUGUUGGGGUUGUAGGACACUCUAUACGGAGUUACAAAGGACGACAUUAGACGAAUCAUCUGGAAAGAUGAAUCAAAGAAGGUAAUAAUCCUGUAGUCGAAAAUGUUGUCUCUCUUGAGUGGAUCCUGAGUACGACGGAGCACGUGAAAUUCCGUCGGAAUCUGGGAGGACCAUCUCCUAAGGCUAAAUACUCUCUAGUGACCGAUAGUGAACCAGUACCGUGAGGGAAAGGUGAAAAGCACCCCGGAAGGGGAGUGAAAUAGAACCUGAAACCGUGUGCUUACAAGUAGUCAGAGCCCGUUAAUGGGUGAUGGCGUGCCUUUUGUAGAAUGAACCGGCGAGUUACGAUUUGAUGCAAGGUUAAGCAGUAAAUGUGGAGCCGUAGCGAAAGCGAGUCUGAAUAGGGCGUUUAGUAUUUGGUCGUAGACCCGAARCCAGGUGAUCUACCCUUGGUCAGGUUGAAGUUCAGGUAACACUGAAUGGAGGACCGAACCGACUUACGUUGAAAAGUGAGCGGAUGAACUGAGGGUAGCGGAGAAAUUCCAAUCGAACCUGGAGAUAGCUGGUUCUCUCCGAAAUAGCUUUAGGGCUAGCCUCAAGUGAUGAUUAUUGGAGGUAGAGCACUGUUUGGACGAGGGGCCCCUCUCGGGUUACCGAAUUCAGACAAACUCCGAAUGCCAAUUAAUUUAACUUGGGAGUCAGAACAUGGGUGAUAAGGUCCGUGUUCGAAAGGGAAACAGCCCAGACCACCAGCUAAGGUCCCAAAAUAUAUGUUAAGUGGAAAAGGAUGUGGCGUUGCCCAGACAACUAGGAUGUUGGCUUAGAAGCAGCCAUCAUUUAAAGAGUGCGUAAUAGCUCACUAGUCGAGUGACACUGCGCCGAAAAUGUACCGGGGCUAAACAUAUUACCGAAGCUGUGGAUUGUCCUUUGGACAAUGGUAGGAGAGCGUUCUAAGGGCGUUGAAGCAUGAUCGYAAGGACAUGUGGAGCGCUUAGAAGUGAGAAUGCCGGUGUGAGUAGCGAAAGACGGGUGAGAAUCCCGUCCACCGAUUGACUAAGGUUUCCAGAGGAAGGCUCGUCCGCUCUGGGUUAGUCGGGUCCUAAGCUGAGGCCGACAGGCGUAGGCGAUGGAUAACAGGUUGAUAUUCCUGUACCACCUAUAAUCGUUUUAAUCGAUGGGGGGACGCAGUAGGAUAGGCGAAGCGUGCGAUUGGAUUGCACGUCUAAGCAGUAAGGCUGAGUAUUAGGCAAAUCCGGUACUCAUUAAGGCUGAGCUGUGAUGGGGAGAAGACAUUGYGUCUUCGAGUCGUUGAUUUCACACUGCCGAGAAAAGCCUCUAGAUAGAAAAUAGGUGCCCGUACCGCAAACCGACACAGGUAGUCAAGAUGAGAAUUCUAAGGUGAGCGAGCGAACUCUCGUUAAGGAACUCGGCAAAAUGACCCCGUAACUUCGGGAGAAGGGGUGCUCUUUAGGGUUAACGCCCAGAAGAGCCGCAGUGAAUAGGCCCAAGCGACUGUUUAUCAAAAACACAGGUCUCUGCUAAACCGUAAGGUGAUGUAUAGGGGCUGACGCCUGCCCGGUGCUGGAAGGUUAAGAGGAGUGGUUAGCUUCUGCGAAGCUACGAAUCGAAGCCCCAGUAAACGGCGGCCGUAACUAUAACGGUCCUAAGGUAGCGAAAUUCCUUGUCGGGUAAGUUCCGACCCGCACGAAAGGCGUAACGAUUUGGGCACUGUCUCAACGAGAGACUCGGUGAAAUCAUAGUACCUGUGAAGAUGCAGGUUACCCGCGACAGGACGGAAAGACCCCGUGGAGCUUUACUGUAGCCUGAUAUUGAAAUUCGGCACAGCUUGUACAGGAUAGGUAGGAGCCUUUGAAACGUGAGCGCUAGCUUACGUGGAGGCGCUGGUGGGAUACUACCCUAGCUGUGUUGGCUUUCUAACCCGCACCACUUAUCGUGGUGGGAGACAGUGUCAGGCGGGCAGUUUGACUGGGGCGGUCGCCUCCUAAAAGGUAACGGAGGCGCUCAAAGGUUCCCUCAGAAUGGUUGGAAAUCAUUCAUAGAGUGUAAAGGCAUAAGGGAGCUUGACUGCGAGACCUACAAGUCGAGCAGGGUCGAAAGACGGACUUAGUGAUCCGGUGGUUCCGCAUGGAAGGGCCAUCGCUCAACGGAUAAAAGCUACCCCGGGGAUAACAGGCUUAUCUCCCCCAAGAGUUCACAUCGACGGGGAGGUUUGGCACCUCGAUGUCGGCUCAUCGCAUCCUGGGGCUGUAGUCGGUCCCAAGGGUUGGGCUGUUCGCCCAUUAAAGCGGUACGCGAGCUGGGUUCAGAACGUCGUGAGACAGUUCGGUCCCUAUCCGUCGUGGGCGUAGGAAAUUUGAGAGGAGCUGUCCUUAGUACGAGAGGACCGGGAUGGACAUACCUCUGGUGUACCAGUUGUCGUGCCAACGGCAUAGCUGGGUAGCUAUGUGUGGACGGGAUAAGUGCUGAAAGCAUCUAAGCAUGAAGCCCCCCUCAAGAUGAGAUUUCCCAACUUCGGUUAUAAGAUCCCUCAAAGAUGAUGAGGUUAAUAGGUUCGAGG